CGGCUCUUUGGUUAUUAGUAUUAGUGACAAAAAAAAUUGAAAAAUCAAUUGAUCUGGCAACACUGACCUAACAAAAGCUGAAAACUUUUUCCAACGGUCAUUUUUUUCACGCCCAGUAGAAGGAGUUGAAAUGCAGCUUUUUGCAAACUGUGGAAGUUCCUCCAGGAAAAUUCCUACCGGUCCAGAAGGGAACAUCAGCUCUUAUGUCGAACUCAAAAUUUUCGCGCGGGGAUUUCCGGAGGAGUUGCUCCACCCAACUUCCUUCAAAUCGAUCGGAUCGGAUUCUGACCCAGGAAGGAGAUAACAAUGUUUAACUUCAUCCCGCUGAAGUGCUCGCGUUGAAAGCUGGUGAUGGCAGAGAAAUUGCUAAAAUUAUCCUCCAGAAAACCUCCGAUUGGAAUGGAUUCCGGCCCAGGAGAAGGCUUAAGGAUACCUGCUUCGAAACGUGCAACCUUUCUGAAAGCUGUAAUUUAAAAUGGUGGAAAAUCCAGUUGCGCCCAGGCAUUCUUAGAGCGAGCAAAGAAGAUUUGGAUUCUAGCUGGUGGACCACCGUGGAGGUACUCAAAAUUCAUGACAAUUCAUUGUACUAGCUGAAACUAAUAACAAAUUAUGUAUUUGUGUAAAAUAUUAUACUCGGAAUCAAAAUUAUUAAUAAAUAUAUGAUCAUGACA